rnacentral:rRNA from 1 species
AAAUUGAAGAGUUUGAUCAUGGCUCAGAUUGAACGCUGGCGGCAGGCCUAACACAUGCAAGUCGAACGGUAACAGGAAUCAGCUUGCUGAUUCGCUGACGAGUGGCGGACGGGUGAGUAAUGUCUGGGAAACUGCCUGAUGGAGGGGGAUAACUACUGGAAACGGUAGCUAAUACCGCAUAACGUCGCAAGACCAAAGAGGGGGACCUUAGGGCCUCUUGCCAUCGGAUGUGCCCAGAUGGGAUUAGCUUGUAGGUGGGGUAACGGCUCACCUAGGCGACGAUCCCUAGCUGGUCUGAGAGGAUGACCAGCCACACUGGAACUGAGACACGGUCCAGACUCCUACGGGAGGCAGCAGUGGGGAAUAUUGCACAAUGGGCGCAAGCCUGAUGCAGCCAUGCCGCGUGUAUGAAGAAGGCCUUCGGGUUGUAAAGUACUUUCAGCGGGGAGGAAGGGAGUAAAGUUAAUACCUUUGCUCAUUGACGUUACCCGCAGAAGAAGCACCGGCUAACUCCGUGCCAGCAGCCGCGGUAAUACGGAGGGUGCAAGCGUUAAUCGGAAUUACUGGGCGUAAAGCGCACGCAGGCGGUUUGUUAAGUCAGAUGUGAAAUCCCCGGGCUCAACCUGGGAACUGCAUCUGAUACUGGCAAGCUUGAGUCUCGUAGAGGGGGGUAGAAUUCCAGGUGUAGCGGUGAAAUGCGUAGAGAUCUGGAGGAAUACCGGUGGCGAAGGCGGCCCCCUGGACGAAGACUGACGCUCAGGUGCGAAAGCGUGGGGAGCAAACAGGAUUAGAUACCCUGGUAGUCCACGCCGUAAACGAUGUCGACUUGGAGGUUGUGCCCUUGAGGCGUGGCUUCCGGAGCUAACGCGUUAAGUCGACCGCCUGGGGAGUACGGCCGCAAGGUUAAAACUCAAAUGAAUUGACGGGGGCCCGCACAAGCGGUGGAGCAUGUGGUUUAAUUCGAUGCAACGCGAAGAACCUUACCUGGUCUUGACAUCCACGGAAGUUUUCAGAGAUGAGAAUGUGCCUUCGGGAACCGUGAGACAGGUGCUGCAUGGCUGUCGUCAGCUCGUGUUGUGAAAUGUUGGGUUAAGUCCCGCAACGAGCGCAACCCUUAUCCUUUGUUGCCAGCGGUCCGGCCGGGAACUCAAAGGAGACUGCCAGUGAUAAACUGGAGGAAGGUGGGGAUGACGUCAAGUCAUCAUGGCCCUUACGACCAGGGCUACACACGUGCUACAAUGGCGCAUACAAAGAGAAGCGACCUCGCGAGAGCAAGCGGACCUCAUAAAGUGCGUCGUAGUCCGGAUUGGAGUCUGCAACUCGACUCCAUGAAGUCGGAAUCGCUAGUAAUCGUGGAUCAGAAUGCCACGGUGAAUACGUUCCCGGGCCUUGUACACACCGCCCGUCACACCAUGGGAGUGGGUUGCAAAAGAAGUAGGUAGCUUAACCUUCGGGAGGGCGCUUACCACUUUGUGAUUCAUGACUGGGGUGAAGUCGUAACAAGGUAACCGUAGGGGAACCUGCGGUUGGAUCACCUCCUUA